ensembl:lncRNA
GAGAAAUGACAGCUACGAAUACGACUAGAUCCUUAGACACAGCAGCAUCUGUGACUCUUCGCCCAAUGAAUAAUUAUGGGAUGGUGUCAGUAUCCCUGGGAGAUGUCUCUCCAGAGUCAAAAACUCCCCACUGCAAAGAACCAAUUAAAGCAGAGGCCCAGGUGAGCCCACCUGGUUCUUCAUUAUCCUGCUGUUUUAUCUGCAGCUCAUUCUCGGGGUGCGUCAAGACUCUGCAUAACUUAAAAUGAUUUAACUUCUGCUUAGAGACUGAUCAGAAUGAGAUCAUGAGUUAUGCACAGUAUGUGUGUAUGAUGAAUGUGAUUACUAUCCAGCUUUCACAUUGUUAAUGAAAUAUACUGUACCUUAGACCCUAAUUUUAAAUAUGUGUUACAAUAGCUUUUGACAAUCCCUGGACUUUGAAAAAUUGCUCUGCAUUUCUAAUCCCCCCCCCCCCCCCAACCCCCCCCCCCGCCAAGUCUGCAUCUUUUCCCUCUUUAGGAUGAUGAAAGGCCACCUACCUUCACCGGUUUGAAAUAUCAUCUCAGUUCUGUCUGCAACCCAAU